AUUGAACGCUGGCGGCAGGCCUAACACAUGCAAGUCGAGCGGUAGCACAGAGAGCUUGCUCUCGGGUGACGAGCGGCGGACGGGUGAGUAAUGUCUGGGAAACUGCCUGAUGGAGGGGGAUAACUACUGGAAACGGUAGCUAAUACCGCAUAACGUCGCAAGACCAAAGUGGGGGACCUUCGGGCCUCAUGCCAUCAGAUGUGCCCAGAUGGGAUUAGCUAGUAGGUGGGGUAAUGGCUCACCUAGGCGACGAUCCCUAGCUGGUCUGAGAGGAUGACCAGCCACACUGGAACUGAGACACGGUCCAGACUCCUACGGGAGGCAGCAGUGGGGAAUAUUGCACAAUGGGCGCAAGCCUGAUGCAGCCAUGCCGCGUGUGUGAAGAAGGCCUUCGGGUUGUAAAGCACUUUCAGCGGGGAGGAAGGCGGUGAGGUUAAUAACCUCAUCGAUUGACGUUGCCCGCAGAAGAAGCACCGGCUAACUCCGUGCCAGCAGCCGCGGUAAUACGGAGGGUGCAAGCGUUAAUCGGAAUUACUGGGCGUAAAGCGCACGCAGGCGGUCUGUCAAGUCGGAUGUGAAAUCCCCGGGCUCAACCUGGGAACUGCAUUCGAAACUGGCAGGCUAGAGUCUUGUAGAGGGGGGUAGAAUUCCAGGUGUAGCGGUGAAAUGCGUAGAGAUCUGGAGGAAUACCGGUGGCGAAGGCGGCCCCCUGGACAAAGACUGACGCUCAGGUGCGAAAGCGUGGGGAGCAAACAGGAUUAGAUACCCUGGUAGUCCACGCCGUAAACGAUGUCGAUUUGGAGGUUGUGCCCUUGAGGCGUGGCUUCCGGAGCUAACGCGUUAAAUCGACCGCCUGGGGAGUACGGCCGCAAGGUUAAAACUCAAAUGAAUUGACGGGGGCCCGCACAAGCGGUGGAGCAUGUGGUUUAAUUCGAUGCAACGCGAAGAACCUUACCUGGUCUUGACAUCCACAGAACUUUCCAGAGAUGGGUUGGUGCCUUCGGGAACUGUGAGACAGGUGCUGCAUGGCUGUCGUCAGCUCGUGUUGUGAAAUGUUGGGUUAAGUCCCGCAACGAGCGCAACCCUUAUCCUUUGUUGCCAGCGGUCCGGCCGGGAACUCAAAGGAGACUGCCAGUGAUAAACUGGAGGAAGGUGGGGAUGACGUCAAGUCAUCAUGGCCCUUACGACCAGGGCUACACACGUGCUACAAUGGCAUAUACAAAGAGAAGCGACCUCGCGAGAGCAAGCGGACCUCAUAAAGUAUGUCGUAGUCCGGAUUGGAGUCUGCAACUCGACUCCAUGAAGUCGGAAUCGCUAGUAAUCGUAGAUCAGAAUGCUACGGUGAAUACGUUCCCGGGCCU
rnacentral:rRNA from 1 species